rnacentral:rRNA from 1 species
UGAGCAAUCUGCCCUUCUCUUCGGAAUAAGCGUGGGAAACCGCGUCUAAUGCCGAAUACGACCUCCUUUCGCAUGAUCGGAGGUGGAAAGCUCCGGCGGAGAAGGAUGAGCUCGCGGCCUAUAAGCUAGUUGGUGAGGUAACGGCUCACCAAGGCGACGACGGGUAGCNUGGUCGUGAGAGGA